rnacentral:ncRNA from 1 species
UCCGGUAGAGGUGCGGUGAUGAUGAGUAGCGGCGACAGAGCUUGUCGGAGAGCAGUCGUGAAAGGCAAAACCGCCGAGGAGCGCGUAAUCCGAUGUGCGCGUUAUCCGGUUGUGCGUCGAACAGGCGUAUGACUGUCAUCGAGUUGCUUGAUGGAGCGCUGCCG